rnacentral:sRNA from 1 species
AUCAAUUUUCGGAAACACACGUAAAGUGUUAAACGUUCAGCAUAGAUAUGUUUUUUUACAAUAAUGUUAGUAUGCUCAAUUAUUGGCCUCCAAUUAUCAUAACAUGGAUGAUGCACGAGUGUCGACUUCGUAGACAAUCCAUCUUUGCUUAUCCACAAAACAACCAUUAUAACAAUGAAUAUAACUAAUAAGAUAAAUUAUUUAACAUGAUUACACAAUGAUUAUUGAUGACGACAUCUUCAGAGAAGCGAGAAAGUAAGUUGCUGGUUGAAGUUUUGGGUUUCACAAAAUGUGCGAGAGUGACGUCUGCUUUGGCAGGGCUAGAAGCACCGUCUGGGAAGGGGACCUCAAACAGCAAAGACUGGUACAAACAAACUUCAUCUUCCUUGCAAUAGUAAACCUGUAAAGAGAGAAUGUAAUCCCUUUUACGUUUAUGCUCAAUCAGUUUGUCCACCACCACCACCCGAGGCUAUGUGAGGUGGAUUUAUAAUUAUUGCAGUUGAAUACAUAACAGCUAAACAAAAUUGAGUUAAAAGUCAGUCAAUUUUAUCGCUUGAUGCCAUUAAACUAGAAUUUCAGGGAUGUGAAACUAGAAUUUGAAGGCGUGAAGAAAACCUUAGUAUUUCAGAGUCCAACAUACUUCUGAGUUCUAUAAUGAGGCAUACCUUGCAAUUAAUUCUUCCCACUGAAGCAGAGUUAGAGGAUCUCUUAAAGUGAAGAGUUGCAGAUCCUUCUGGACUAAGGAAUCCAUCGAGGGGUUCAAUAUUCACAGCAUCUUCAGGUUCAAUAUCCACGCUGAAUUUACUGCGUGCUUCCUGCAAUGUAAAAUUAGGACAAUAGUCAGCGAAAUAUAUAAUCUCGCUUGUAUGCAAAGAAUUGAAUUAGAAGUGUGUUUGAAAUAAAGGAGGGUGAGGACCUUUGAGAAAUGAUACUCGCUUGGUAAUGAUAUUUUAAUAGACAAGUUUCCCUCAUUUGAUGAAAUGGCAUCAAUCGGAAUUGGCACUGUGUCGGCUGAUGCUCGUCGUCUAAGACGUUUAAAAGAUCUUGAUUUUGGUUUAGGAGGCUGAAUUCCUUUAAGCUCCAAGGUACGGAGUUCAGUUUCAUCAGCGUUUAAAUCUAGAUAUCGAAUUAAGCUGUUGUUUGUGUCAGCUAUAAAUAAUCUCCCUGAAAACAAAAUACAGACAAUUUAUUUUUCUAAGAUUAAGGUUGAUUUAAAGUUAAUUCAUUUUAGACAAAGUAAUUGAAUCGAGCGAUCAACAAACAGGAGAAAAGAACAAGAUAUGUACUUGUACUACAAAAAGGUAGUGUACGAAUUCCAUAAUCAUACAUAAUGUGAUGACAGUUAUGUCCACUUGUUAGGAUAAGGCGCACAGGAUUCUAAAAGACCAACCCACAAAUGUUAUAACACUACUAUAGUUCAUGUAUAUAAAUA